rnacentral:rRNA from 1 species
UACGUAGGGGGCAAGCGUUGUCCGGAAUCAUUGGGCGUAAAGAGCGCGUAGGCGGCUCGAUAAGUCUGGUGUGAAAGUCCAGGGCUCAACCCUGGAAGGCCGGUGGAAACUGUCGGGCUAGAGUCCGGAAGAGGCGAGUGGAAUUCCCGGUGUAGCGGUGAAAUGCGCAGAUAUCGGGAGGAACACCAAUGGCGAAGGCAGCUCGCUGGGACGGUACUGACGCUGAGGCGCGAAAGCGUGGGGAGCAAACGGG